UACGGAGGAUCCAAGCGUUAUCCGGAUUUAUUGGGUUUAAAGGGUGCGUAGGCGGCUUUUUAAGUCAGGGGUGAAAGACGGUGGCUCAACCAUCGCAGUGCCUUUGAUACUGAAGAGCUUGAUUAAACUUGAGGUAGGCGGAAUGUGACAAGUAGCGGUGAAAUGCAUAGAUAUGUCACAGAACACCGAUUGCGAAGGCAGCUUACUAAGCUUUAACUGACGCUGAGGCACGAAAGUGUGGGGAUCAAACAGG
rnacentral:rRNA from 1 species